UGGCUCAGGACGAACGCUGGCGGCGUGCCUAAUACAUGCAAGUCGAACGGUCUUUCUAUGGAAGCUUGCUUCCACUGAGAAGAUAGUGGCGAACGGGUGAGUAACACGUGGGUAACCUGCCCAUAAGAGGGGGGAUAACAUCCGGAAACGGGUGCUAAUACCGCAUAGUUUUCUUGGUCGCAUGAUCGGGAAAGGAAAGACGGCCUUUGUGCUGUCGCUUAUGGAUGGACCCGCGGCGUAUUAGUUAGUUGGUGAGGUAACGGCUCACCAAGACGAUGAUACGUAGCCGACCUGAGAGGGUGAUCGGCCACAUUGGGACUGAGACACGGCCCAAACUCCUACGGGAGGCAGCAGUAGGGAAUCUUCCGCAAUGGACGAAAGUCUGACGGAGCAACGCCGCGUGAGUGAAAGAAGGUUUUCGGAUCGUAAAACUCUGUUGUCAGAGAAGAACAAGUUGGAGAGUAACUGCUCCAGCCUUGACGGUAUCUGACCAGAAAGCCACGGCUAACUACGUGCCAGCCGCCGC
rnacentral:rRNA from 1 species